ensembl:lncRNA
CCAAAAUAACAAGUCACAGGAUGCCUGUCUAGAGGGUAGCUUUGCUGAAAAUAACCUGGAGACUGAACAGAAGUCAGCAGUGUGUCCUUGUGCAUUAGAAGAUAACUCUGUGCUGAGCCAAGGGCAUGCUGGACAUUAAUGAUUCUUCCUCAUUGUUCAGUUAUUGUGAGAGCAUUAUCUGGAGAACUCUGUGAAGUGUUAGUUCCCCAGUACAAGAAAGUCAUUGACAUGCUGGAGCAAGCUGGUGCAAGGAAGAUGGUCAAACAGAGGAAAACUCACCCAGGAAGGAGGCUCUGCCCUUCAAGAUAUUCAGUACAUAAUUGGGAAACCACCUGGAAGUUCCUCUCUUCAAGAUGUCCUGUCAUUCCAAAGGCAAACAGGGACAACCACUUAAUUAACAGCAAUUUUGGUUCGUCUAUGAAUUCUAAAUCUCAAAAUCACUGUAAGCCAUGGUGUGGAGGAAGUGAUGUGCUGCUUCUCCCUCUGUAGAGCAAGGUGUUCCUGUCAAAAUCACAGCUUCAUCAUGAAUUGGAUUGAGUCCACAAAUACAGUCUCAUCACAGUGAUGGAGAAGAGCAAAUGACCAUCAGAUAUUGGCUGAUUCAGAGUUCGUAUGACCUUCCAGUCUGCAUGCCCUUCAUUUCACCUCAAUGGAUCUCAUGUGAAACUAGAGAUAAAAGGAGUAACCUAGUGUAUUUGUUAUUUUCUUUUGAAGGAAUUUAUUUUUCUGAUAGCCAAAACAAUAGUCAGUUUCUAUUAUUUUUUGUCAGAAGUAUGCACAAUAGCAAAAUAAAUUGGAUAUGAUGAACUCUAAAAUGAUUAACA